AUUGAACGCUGGCGGCAGGCUUAACACAUGCAAGUCGAACGAGUGGCGGACGGGUGAGUAAUGAUUGGGAAUCUAGCUUAUGGGGGGGGAUAACUACGGGAAACUGUCGCUAAUACAGCGUACCAUAGGAGGGGCCCGAGGGGGAUUAGGGUGUGGGUGAGGUAAAGGGUCACCAAGCCGACGACCCCUAGCUGGUCUGAGAGGAUGACCGGCCAAACGGGUACUUAGACACGGCCCAGAGUCCUAGGGGCGGCAGCAGUGGGGAAUUUGGCGCAAUGGGGGAAACGCUGACGCAGCGAUGCCGCGUGUAUGCAGAAGGCCUUAGGGUUGUAAAGUACUUUCAGUCGGGAGGCGUUACCGACAGAAGAAGCACCGGCUAACUCCGUGCCAGCCGCCGCGGUAAUUC
rnacentral:rRNA from 1 species